UACGGAGGGAGCUAGCGUUGUUCGGAAUUACUGGGCGUAAAGCGUGCGUAGGUGGUUUGUUAAGUCUGUUGUGAAAGCCCCGGGCUCAACCUGGGAAUGGCAAUGGAUACUGGCAAGCUAGAGUGCGGUAGAGGGUAGUGGAAUUCCCGGUGUAGCGGUGAAAUGCGUAGAGAUCGGGAGGAACACCAGUGGCGAAGGCGGCUACCUGGACAAGCACUGACACUGAGGCACGAAAGCGUGGGGAGCAAACAGG
rnacentral:rRNA from 1 species